AGUGAUGAUGGUGAACGGAGAUCACAGGAUCGGGAUCUUUGCCAAGCGAGCCAUCCAGACCGGAGAGGAGCUCUUCUUCGACUACAGGUACAGUCAGGCGGACGCUCUGAAGUACGUCGGGAUCGAGCGGGAGUUGGAGAUCGCCUGACUCUGACUCGUACCUCCUGUGGAUCAGCGACACGAAGGCCUUACACACAAACACAAACCGACACACGCUCACUUCAGGAAAUCCAGACCACUCGUCAACAAUGCUAGAAAGCUUCAGGAAAUCUGGGAAUAUUGUUUUUAUACUUUUCAUAUCCACUUUUCUUUGUGUGAGGUUGUUUUUUUUUUUGUUUUUUUCUGCUGUCACCAAAUCUUCCUGUUCUGUGGGAUGUUCUUCUUCAUGAACCUCAGCUGAAGCUGCACAUCAGACAGUGAGAAGACGAACCUCGACCGUAACACUGGUUUCACUUCAGUGACCAAAACCCUUCACCAGCCGCUCACACAGCUGAAACUGUUCGUACCUGGUUUGUAAACAGUGAACUUACCCAGAAGCCCCGGUCUCUGUCCGAUCUGUAGAACAGGGCCGUCACAAAGAAGCGUCAGAUCAACCGUGGCCGCUGAGUUCUGGAUUCCUGGAUUAGACUCUGGCUUCGUGACGCUGCUUCAGGCGCUAACGUCACAAAACGGGAAACUCGACAAACGUUUGAAGCGUUGUUUCCUGGUCCAGAAGGUUUUUUCACUUCCUGUCUCCGCUGUCGUCUGCCUGUCAGCUCGUGUUUUCCUCGGCGGCUCCACUGUGCUCGACUCCUCCUCAGCUCCUGGUUUCUGCCUCGUCGUCACGUUGUUUCUCUGUUCAGGCCUCAGGUUCUCAUCCGUGUGAAGAGACUGAAACUUUUCAGCUUCUUCUUCAACUCUGCUGUUUUUUGUUUCAAGGCAGUUUGUCUCCAUGAAACUCAGGAGAAGAUUCAAACAGCAGUUUUCGAUCUGCUUGGUUUUUGGAAAAUCUGGAAACAAUAUUCAGGUCGUCGGUCAUUUGUAAAAAUGAACACGUCAGUAUCGAAGGGCUUCAAACUAUUCGUCACCACAUCGAUGCAUCUUUUCUGUUUAAUCGUGUGAUGCUUUCAAAUGUCGUGUUUAACAAACCUUAAGAGCUUCGAUUAAAAAUGUAUUUAAAACGAAGAAACUCUUGAAAUUCUUCAAGUUUGAGAAACUAGAUCAAACUCGGACGAGGUCGAGCACAGUGACGCCCGAUGAGAAAACUGUGAGUCAGUCCCGAGGUGUUUGUCGAAGCCGCCUCGUCCCGCGCUCUGUGCCUUGUCACUCCACCGUGUUAGCUGUAGCUCAUCGUUCUCACUGAGUGCAUGAUGACGUCUGUGCCUCACGUUACUGUACUGCCUCCUCCUGGUGACGUCCGAGCAGUAGAAUUGAAUCUCCAUGGAUUUCGGAGCAUUCCUCUCGUUUCUUCUUUUACUAACGUACCAACGCUCGCUCUGACUCUCGCUCUCCUGAUGUCUGAUCCACUUGAAGCCUCACCAGCCUCUCCUCUCUUCACGGCGUCUCGGGAUGAAACCCGGUGCUUCAGUGAACUGGUUCUGACUCUGACAUGUUUGAGCCUCCAGACGGAAAUGUGUUGGAACAUUCAAAUUUCUUUUUAGCUGCUGAUCGUUUUCCUCGAUGACUCAAUCGACAGCAGCUGUUUUCGUUUAACGUUUAAUCUGAAAUCAGCGGCUGUGAGAUUCUUCUUCUUUUUUUUUUUUCGAUAAAGAAGCGUCUGUGAUUGGACGGCUGAGAAACGGAGCAGAAGUUUCCACGUGUCCCUGAACGUGUUUUUUCUUCUCGCCCGUGAUCGCAUACCAUCGUGGAGCUGGAGAGGAAACGUGUCGUGCUAACUUGUCUUUUCCUCUCGUCAGACCAGGACCACUUUCUUUUUUCCUCUGAGAACACAGGUGCUGAUUUUUGUAACGUUUACAGGGAUUCUUGUUGUUGGAAGUUAAGAUAAAAAUAUUAUAAAUGGCCGA